CCGUUCGCGUUACCCCAUUCUACCGCGAAUGUCUGCGCACCGUAGUCCGUAGAUCAUUACAACACACCGUCCGCCCUGAUGCGCUUCUGUAAUCUGUUGCUAAAGACUCCGGCUAGUUACCAUCGUCAGCAAGCUACGUUAUGACUUAUGACGCUGCCGGUCCAAUACGCCAGUCGCCGAGGUCCGAUGCCACUCAAGUUCACGGUUCUCAUAAGUUGCUCUAAAUACUAUUGCGGUCACCAAAAUAUGCUGUAUAGGCGCUGGAUAUAUGGGAGGACCCACAUACAGUGUAAUAGUAAUGCAAUGUCCACGCAUAAAAGUCACGGUUGUAGACAUAUGUGCUCAUCGUAUUUCACCGUGGAACUCUGAAAAAUGGCCUAGCUACAAACCCUGACUUGAUGACAUUGUAAAAAAUGGAGACAUAUAAACUUGUUCUUUUCUACAAACAUCAAAGAAACUAUCCAAGAAGCAGAUUUAAUUUUAAUUUCUGUUAAUACCACUACAAAAGACAUUUGGAGUAGGCAAAUGACUAGAUCAUUACGACGCACCGUCUGCCCUGUUGCGCUUCUGUUGCUAUAGACGCCGACUACUUAUCAUCGUCCACAAGCUACGUUAUGACCCGGCCGGUCCAAUACGCCAGUCGCCAAGGUCUGAUGCCACUCAAGUUCACGGUUCUCAUAAGUUGCUCUAAAUACUAUUGCGGUCACCAAAAUAUGCUGUAUAGGCGCUGGAUAUAUGGGAGGACCUACAUACAGUGUAAUAGUAAUGCAAUAUCCACGCAUAAAAGUCACGGCUGUAGACAUGUGCUCAUCGUAUUUCAUAGUGGAACUCUGAAAAAUGGCCCAUAUACAAGCCUGGACUUGAUGACAAUAUAAAAAACGGAGAAAUUUAAACUCGUUCUUUUCUACAAACAUCAAAGAAGCUAUCCAAGAAUCAGAUUCAAUUUUAAUUUCUGAUAAUACCCCUUCAAAAGAUAUUUGAAGUAAGCAAAGGAUGUGUCGCUGACCUAACAUACGUUGAAAAAUGCGCUAAGAUUAUUGUCCAAGUUUUAGCAAAUGACGAAAUUGUAGUGGAAAAGAGUACAGUUUCAGUUCAUGCAACGGAGAGCAUAUUAAACAUUUCUAGCGCUAAUCACGAAUGUUGAAUUUCAAGUAAGUUAAUAUUCCUACAUUAGGUAUAUUAUACAUUUUUAGUUGUUCAUAUACCUGAAUGAUUCAAUACGCAUAUUGUAUCAUACAUUAAUAAUUUAUACCAUUUUACUAGCUGUUAUAUUGAACUUUAUGCGUACAAGAUAAAUACAUAGGCAGGUAAUAAAUAAUACAAUUAUUUGCUUAUCCACUUUUAAAAUCUUUUAUCUCGUAGGUUUAUGAGCUGAGAUUUGAAUAUAACACCAAGAUGUAAUCGUGAUAUCACCUGUGCACUUUUUGAAGGCAAAUCUAGAAAUAAAAAUAAGAAUGGUUUGCUUUCAAAAAAGGCAAAGGUAAUACUCGUGAGUCACCUGCAAUACAUGUUGCUAAGAUGUUACUUGAUGAAGGAGCAAAACUUAUUAUUUAUGACCCUAAGGUGUGUUGGAAGAACAAUAGUAGUAUAGUGGAAGAGGUAUAAAUUAUGAAAUUAUAUAAAAAGAAAAAACAACAUUUCAACGAGGGUGCUGUUUUUUUCCUAAUAUAAAAUACAGGUAUUUCAUUCUUAUUCAUAACUAAAAUGGAUCAUUAUUUCUAAAAACCC
rnacentral:lncRNA from 1 species